CUCAGAAACUCAAAUGAAUUGACGGGGGCCCGCACAAGCGGUGGAGUAUGUGGUUUAAUUCGAUGCAACGCGAAGAACCUUACCUGGUCUUGACAUCCCGGAGACCCUUAGGAAACUAGGGGGUGCUUCCAUCUGGAAGAAUCUGGAGACAGGUGCUGCAUGGCUGUCGUCAGCUCGUGUCGUGAGAUGUUGGGUUAAGUCCCGCAACGAGCGCAACCCUUGCCUUUAGUUGCCAGCAGUUCGGCUGGGCACUCUAAAGGGACUGCCGGUGUUAAACCGGAGGAAGGUGGGGAUGACGUCAAGUCCUCAUGGCCUUUAUGACCAGGGCUACACACGUACUACAAUGGCCGAUACAAAGGGCAGCGACACUGCGAGGUGAAGCCAAUCCCGUAAAAUCGGUCUCAGUCCGGAUUGGAGUCUGCAACUCGACUCCAUGAAGUUGGAAUCGCUAGUAAUCGUGGAUCAGCAUGCCACGGUGAAUACGUUCCCGGGCCUU
rnacentral:rRNA from 1 species